ensembl:snRNA U1 U1 spliceosomal RNA
AUACUUACCUGGCAAGCGAGACACCGUUAUCAAGAAGGCGGUUCACCCAGGGCGAGGCUCAGCCAUUGCACUCCGGCUGUGCUGACCCCUGCGAAUUUCCCAAAUGUGGAAAUCUCGAUUGCAUAAUUUCUGGUAGUGGGGGACUGCGUUCGCGCUCUCCCCUG